rnacentral:rRNA from 1 species
GGCGAACGCUGGCGGCGCGCUUAACACAUGCAAGUCGAACGGAAAGGCCUGCUUUCCCUUGUGGAUUGCGGGUACUCGAGUGGCGAACGGGUGAGUAACACGUGAGUGAUCUGCCCCCAACUUGGGUAUAAGCCUGGGAAACUGGGUCUAAUUCCCGAUAGGACUGCAGGGUGGUGCCUGUGGUGGAAAACGAUUUUCUAGUGGUUGGGGAUGAGCUCGCGGCCUAUCAGCUUGUUGGUGGGGUAAUGGCCUACCAAGGCGGCGACGGGUAGCCGGCCUGAGAGGGUGGACGGCCCCAUUGGGACUGAGAUACGGCCCAGACUCCUACGGGAGGCAGCAGUGGGGAAUAUUGCACAAUGGGCGGAAGCCUGAUGCAGCGACGCCGCGUGGGGGAUGACGGCCUUCGGGUUGUAAACUCCUUUCGACCGCGAGGAAGCCACCUGGUUGGAAGGGUGGUGACGGUAGUGGUAGAAGAAGCACCGGCUAACUACGUG